AUUGAACGCUGGCGGCAUGCUUUACACAUGCAAGUCGAACGGCAGCACGGGUGCUUGCACCUGGUGGCGAGUGGCGAACGGGUGAGUAAUGCAUCGGAACGUAUCCGAGAGUGGGGGAUAACGCAUCGAAAGGUGUGCUAAUACCGCAGACGCCCUGAGGGGGAAAGUGUGGGACCGCAAGGCCUCACGCUGCUGGAUCGGCCGGUGUCUGAGUAGCUAGUUGGUGUGGUAAAGGCUCACCAAGGCGACGAUCAGUAGCUGGUCUGAGAGGAUGAUCAGCCACACUGGGACUGAGACACGGCCCAGACUCCUACGGGAGGCAGCAGUGGGGGAUUUUGGACAAUGGGGGCAACCCUGAUCCAGCCAUGCCGCGUGAGUGAAGAAGGCCUUCGGGUUGUAAAGCUCUUUCGCGAGGGAAGAAAACUUAGUUCUUAAUACGAGCUGAGGAUGACGGUACCUUGAUAAGAAGCACCGGCUAACUACGUGCCAGCAGCCGCGGUAACAC
rnacentral:rRNA from 1 species